AAGUGAAGUGAUGUUAUCUUUCGGGACUGACCUGAAAUGAAGUCACCCUUAAUGCUGAUCAUUU